rnacentral:rRNA from 1 species
GACGUAGGGCGCGAGCGUUGUCCGGAUUUAUUGGGCGUAAAGAGCUCGUAGGCGGCUUGUUGCGUCGACCGUGAAAACCCGGGGCUCAACUUCGGGCUUGCGGUCGAUACGGGCGGGCUAGAGUUCGGUAGGGGAGACUGGAAUUCCUGGUGUAGCGGUGAAAUGCGCAGAUAUCAGGAGGAACACCGGUGGCGAAGGCGGGUCUCGUGGGCCGAUACUGACGCUGAGACGCGAAGCGUGGGGAGCGAACAGG